CUUGUUUGUGGCCAGUUGGUUAAAUGCCCCGAAGUAGAGUUGCUGGGUCAUGGGGGAGCUCUAUGUUUAGCCUUUAGAGGAACUCCACACUGCUUUCCAGAGUGGUCAAACAAGCUUACACUCUCACCAACUGUGAGGUAGGGUUCCCUUUUGGCCACAUCCCCUCCAACAACUAUUAU